rnacentral:rRNA from 1 species
AGAGUUUGAUCCUGGCUCAGAUUGAACGCUGGCGGCAUGCCUUACACAUGCAAGUCGAACGGCAGCACGGAGCUUGCUCUGGUGGCGAGUGGCGAACGGGUGAGUAAUAUAUCGGAACGUACCCUAGAGUGGGGGAUAACGUAGCGAAAGUUACGCUAAUACCGCAUACGAUCUAAGGAUGAAAGUGGGGGAUCGCAAGACCUCAUGCUCGUGGAGCGGCCGAUAUCUGAUUAGCUAGUUGGUAGGGUAAAAGCCUACCAAGGCAUCGAUCAGUAGCUGGUCUGAUAGGACGACCAGCCACACUGGAACUGAGACACGGUCCAGACUCCUACGGGAGGCAGCAGUGGGGAAUUUUGGACAAUGGGCGAAAGCCUGAUCCAGCAAUGCCGCGUGAGUGAAGAAGGCCUUCGGGUUGUAAAGCUCUUUUGUCAGGGAAGAAACGGUGAGAGCUAAUAUCUCUUGCUAAUGACGGUACCUGAAGAAUAAGCACCGGCUAACUACGUGCCAGCAGCCGCGGUAAUACGUAGGGUGCAAGCGUUAAUCGGAAUUACUGGGCGUAAAGCGUGCGCAGGCGGUUUUGUAAGUCUGAUGUGAAAUCCCCGGGCUCAACCUGGGAAUUGCAUUGGAGACUGCAAGGCUAGAAUCUGGCAGAGGGGGGUAGAAUUCCACGUGUAGCAGUGAAAUGCGUAGAUAUGUGGAGGUACACCGAUGGCGAAGGCAGCCCCCUGGGUCAAGAUUGACGCUCAUGCACGAAAGCGUGGGGAGCAAACAGGAUUAGAUACCCUGGUAGUCCACGCCCUAAACGAUGUCUACUAGUUGUCGGGUCUUAAUUGACUUGGUAACGCAGCUAACGCGUGAAGUAGACCGCCUGGGGAGUACGGUCGCAAGAUUAAAACUC